rnacentral:tRNA from 1 species
CGGGUACUAGCUCAGCUUGGAAGAGCGCGCGGUUUGGGACCGCGAGGCCGGGGGUUCAAGUCCCUCGUACCCGA